rnacentral:rRNA from 1 species
GAUGAACGCUGGCGGCGUGCCUAAUACAUGCAAGUCGAGCGAACAGACGAGGAGCUAGCUCCUCUGACGUUAGCGGCGGACGGGUGAGUAACACGUGGAUAACCUACCUAUAAGACUGGGAUAACUUCGGGAAACCGGAGCUAAUACCGGAUAAUAUAUUGAACCGCAUGGUUCAAUAGUGAAAGACGGUUUUGCUGUCACUUAUAGAUGGAUCCGCGCCGCAUUAGCUAGUUGGUAAGGUAACGGCUUACCAAGGCAACGACGCGUAGCCGACCUGAGAGGGUGAUCGGCCACACUGGAACUGAGACACGGUCCAGACUCCUACGGGAGGCAGCAGUAGGGAAUCUUCCGCAAUGGGCGAAAGCCUGACGGAGCAACGCCGCGUGAGUGAUGAAGGUCUUCGGAUCGUAAAACUCUGUUAUUAGGGAAGAACAAAUGUGUAAGUAACUAUGCACGUCUUGACGGUACCUAAUCAGAAAGCCACGGCUAACUACGU